rnacentral:rRNA from 1 species
AUUGAACGCUGGCGGCAGGCCUAACACAUGCAAGUCGAACGAGUGGCGGACGGGCGAGUAAUGUCUGGGAAACUGCCUGAUGGAGGGGGAUAACUACUGGAAACGGUAGCUAAUACCGCAUACCAUCAGAUGUGCCCAGAUGGGAUUAGCUAGUUGGUGGGGUAACGGCUCACCAAGGCGACGAUCCCUAGCUGGUCUGAGAGGAUGACCAGCCACACUGGAACUGAGACACGGUCCAGACUCCUACGGGAUGCAGCAGUGGGGAAUAUUGCACAAUGGGCGCAAGCCUGAUGCAGCCAUGCCGCGUGUAUGAAGAAGGCCUGCGGGUUGUAAAGUACUUUCGGCGGGGAGGCGGUACCCGCAGAGGAAGCACCGGCUAACUCCGUGCCAGCAGCCGCGGUAAUAC